UUAUGUCACGUGCUUCGGCUUCCUCUGGGACUUUACUUUCGCUUGGUAACUUGGGCCAUUUGCCUGUUAUUCAUUGAAUUGUGGAUAGCUCCUUUAUGCUUUGAGUUUGAGGUUUCAUAAUGGAGAUUCUCUCGCUACUUGUGACUAAGCAGAUAUAGAAAUACCCAAAGUUAUGGGUUGGGUUCUUGAAGUGUGCUCUCCUGACGCAACCUCAGUCAUUUGGAGUGUUACUUCAGCGCAACUGGAAAGUGCAUUGAGCAGAACUGCUGCUUCUCUGAAGGCUCCCUUGAUUGCCCAUGCCAUACCACCAAGCAUUCGAUCUUCUCUACCUAGGUACUCAUUAGAUAGCUAAGCUGAGCCUGGUAGAGCUUGGGACAAGAGAAGGAUUGCAUGAUUUGAGAGUCGGUUUCUGCAAUGGAAGCAUCUUACAAUCACUAGGAAAUGGGUGGUGCGCAAUUUUUGUAAUUUAGUCAAUGCAAGUCCCUGCUAAAAUACCAGUGGUUUGAGUAACUGGAUUGAUACUGAUGUGUUCCCUGUGGGUGUUGGGUUCAAAUUUCAAACGGGCAUAUCUUUGAUUUCAGUCUGGAUAAAAAGUCUUGCGAGAUUUUAAUGUGCCACGAGAACCAGAGUUUAUGUACAUCUUUUGCGAAUAGCAAUAAUUUACUUUUUUUAAACAA